UCCGAUAAAACAAUGAGCAAAAUACAUCAAUAUGAUAUAAACUAAUUGAUAGAUGCAAUCUACUAGAUCGGACCGAACCGAGACAGUAUUAGAUUGAAUAUCUCAAAAAGCACAUAUCAAACAAACGUAGAUCACGUAAAGUGGCCGACCAGAUCAACUCAAGAUACGAAAGUAACUCAAGCUGAAAUUGAUACGAUAACUAGCAAUCACGCCACGAUAUUAGAAGAUCGGACCGAACCAAAAUAGUUCUAAUCUAGCGAUGUGAUUACUGUGGCCGGCAGAACGUAGGACUUACCCCUCCACCGAAGAUCGAUACGAUGCAGCCCCGAGUCAGGUGCCAAGUUUCGUCGGUGUUGAAACCUCGGUAAAGAGGGUGGCGAUGCGCCGAGAGUAAUUGAUCUAAUUAUGAUGUAGAUAAUUUACAAUGACCUCGGACAUACAUAUUUAUACCCUUGGGUGGAUACGAGUCCAUGUCGGAUACGUCACACAUUUCCUAAUAGAUAAAGGAAAUAACAAAUCCUAUUUGGACUCUAACUCUAACUAAUCCCUAUUGAAUACAACAUUGUUUCUAAUAGAUAAAAGAAAACAAACAAGUCCCAAUCAAACUCUAACUUUAUUAGAGAUAAAGUAAGUAAAAAUCCUAAACGAACUCUAGCUAACAAAUAAAAUUACGCCGCCAUGCCUUGGUCUUCACGAUUCCUUCUUGAAUUCGGAAUCUUUCGGAUAAGAUUUUCAUCAGUCGAUUACGCAUUUCCUUAACCAAAUCCAAUAAGGAUAUUUAUCAAAUUUUGGUGUCAACAGAGACGCAGAAUCAAGGUGACGGUCGGGCGAUGCCGAGGCAGCGAGGUGGAGGUGACGACACAUCAGAUCUAGGCGGCGAGGCGUCAACGAGGUGGAGGCAGUGACCCGUCAGAUCCAGGAUGACGAGACGGCGGUGAGGUGGAGGUGGUGGCCAGGCGGCGAGAUGACAGCGAGGUGAAGGCGACGAUGGAGGAGAGGGUGAGGCCUAGGAGUGGAGAUCGCAUGGCUUGGCCUUGCACGCGUGGGUGUAGCGCGAUGGAUCUGUCGGGCCUGGCUGAGCGGUGAAGCUGAAAACAAG
rnacentral:lncRNA from 1 species